UUACCCACUCCCGGCACGGGGAGGUAGUGACGAAAAAUAACGAUACGGGACUCAUCCGAGGCCCCGUAAUCGGAAUGAGUACACUCUAAACCCUUUAACGAGGAUCAAUUGGAGGGCAAGUCUGGUGCCAGCAGCCGCGGUAAUUCCAGCUCCAAUAGCGUAUAUUAAAGUUGUUGCGGUUAAAAAGCUCGUAGUCGAAUCUGUGUCCCACGCCGCCGGUUCAUCGUCCGCGGUGUCAACUGGCGUGUCGCGGGACGUCCUGCCGGUGGGCUUAGCUCGCGCGGGCGGCCCAACUCAAUCCUGCCGCGGUGCUCUUCACUGAGUGUCGAGGUGGGCCGGCACGUUUACUUUGAACAAAUUAGAGUGCUUAAAGCAGGCUAAAACUUCGCCUGAAUACU
rnacentral:rRNA from 1 species